rnacentral:rRNA from 1 species
GUGCAGCCGCCGCGGUAAUACCGGCAGCCCGAGUGAUGGCCGAUCUUAUUGGGCCUAAAGCGUCCGUAGCUGGCCGCGCAAGUCCAUCGGGAAAUCCACCUGCUCAACAGGUGGGCGCCCGGUGGAAACUGCACAGCUUGGGACCGGAAGGCUCGAAGGGUACGUUCGGGGUAGGAGUGAAAUCCCAUAAUCCCGCACGGACCACCGAUGGCGAAAGCACUUCGAGAAAACGGAUCCGACAGUGAGGGACGAAAGCCAGGGUCUCCAACCGGAUUAGAAACCCAAGUAGUCC